GGCGAUCAGAUACCGCCCUAGUUCUGACCGUAAACGAUGCCAACUAGCGAUCCGCCGGCGGAUUCAUUCGCCCUGGUGGGGAGCUUCCCGGAAACGAAAGUCUUCCGGUUCCGGGGGAAGUAUGGUUGCAAAGCUGAAACUUAAAGGAAUUGACGGAAGGGCACCACCAGGAGUGGAGCCUGCGGCUUAAUUUGACUCAACACGGGGAAACUCACCCGGCCCGGACACCGUAAGGAUUGACAGAUUGAUAGCUUUUUCAUGAUUCGGUGGAUGGUGGUGCAUGGCCGUUCUUAGUUCGUGGAGCGAUUUGUCUGGUUUAUUCCGAUAACGAGCGAGACUCUGGCCUACUAAAUAGUUGGCACAUUGCCACUGUGUGCCCAACUUCUUAGAGGGAUUUUCGGUGUUCAGCCGCACGAAAUUGAGCAAUAACAGGUCUGUGAUGCCCUUAGAUGUCCGGGGCUGCACGCGCGCUACACUGGCAAAAUCAGCGUGCUUGUCCUCCCCCGAAAGCAGUUGGUAAACCGAUGAAAAUUUGCCGUGAUUGGGAUCGGACAUUGCAAUUAUUGUCCGUGAACGAGGAAUCCCUUGUAAGGGCGAGUCAUCAACUCGUCCUGAAUACGUCCCUGCCCUUGUA
rnacentral:rRNA from 1 species